rnacentral:misc_RNA from 1 species
GUCCAACAGUUCUUCUUUGUUGUCCCCCUUCGCUGCGUUCUCGGCGCACGCACAGGCAGAGCAGGAGGGAGAUACGGCCACGCGCGCACACACAGUGGCACAUACUCGCGGCGGCACGUGCUGUCUUCCCGCCUCCCUGCUUUGUUUUCCUACGGCUGCCAUCGACGCCGCGCUGCUGCUUUUCCUAGUUCCGCUCCGCCUCCUCCCUCGCUCCCCGCUGCUGUGUGGUGAGGGGUGUGGCGCUGCAUCUGCAUGUGCGCGUGCGGCGCAGGGGCGCACUCCGCUGCAUCUCAGGUGAAAUUUUAAUGAUGUCAUGCCGCAGCGGCAGCGGCACAGCGACGGCUGUGUACGAGGCGCUGCCAUCGACACCGGUGCGCCGCCAACUCGGCACGUCCACGGAUGACGCUGCCAUCUUUCUCGAGGACACGGUUGAUCGAGUGACGGCGCAGUGCAUUGACGCCUCGCCAUCUGCUUUGGCUCUGCUGUCGCCGCAGCAUAUGCCGACCAGCAGCGCCGCCCACGUCGACGUCACCGAGUACGAUGUGAGCUACCUUGGCUCUCUCUCGGCUUCCCACCGGAAGAGCGCCGGUGGGGGCAGCAGCGGCAAGAGUCGCCCGAGCCACCAUCACCACCGUGCGCUGCACGACGUCACGAACACGUCUGUCACGAAGAUGAACUUCAGCUCAGCGUCCGCUAGUAAAUCGCCUAAUCCCAAGGCAGCAGGGAGGAGUAUGUCGCACGGCUCGCACCCGAACAGUGUGUCGCACAGCACCUCGCUCGCUCGCAGCACACCGCGGCGCAGCACCCACGACCGCAGCCCGGCGGCCUCUGAGCCGAUGGUGCCACUCGCUGAGUAUGAGGCGCUGCAGCGGGAACGCAACCGGUACGAAAAGAUGUACGAGCACCAGCGCGCACUUUACGAGGAUAUGGCUGAGAAACACGCGGACGCGUACCAGGCGCUGCAGGACAAGAUCAUCGAGGUUGUCGCGCUGUCCACGCGCAACGAGGAGAGCAAGCGCUUCAUUCGGCAGCUGAAGCGGGAGAUGUCCGAGAGUCGCACCCGUGUGAUGGACAUGCAGAACAAGGCUCUGGAGGAGGCCAAGCUGGAGCGUUCCGCCAAGAUGCGGUACGAGGCGCUCAUUAAAGAGCACGAGCGCAAGUAUGAACGGCUGGUGGAGCGGCACGAGACGAAGCUGGCAGGGAUGGAGAGCCUCGUGAGGGACUUGACAUGCCUACGCGGGGAGCAGGACAGCAUCCACGUCUCGCAGCUCGACUCCCUGCUGAAGGCUGCCUACUCGAAAAGCACGGCCCUCUUCAGCGACCUGCUUCGCCAAGGCAAACAGAUUGAUCUUCUCUACGAAGCUAAAGGGUCUCUCGAGGCGCAGGUGGAGCAGCAACGCAAGGAGAAGCGGGAGAUAGAGGCGACACUGCGCGAGGAGCGGCGCAACAUGGCCGGCGAGAUGGAGCGGAUGAUCGAGCAGAUCGAGGAGCAGCAGCAGUCGAUCCUGAACCUGCGUCAGAUGCUGAUCCGUACCAUGGACAACCGCGACAACGUCUUCGCCUACAGUCGGGGUCCGCGUCAUGUACAAGGUGUGGAAGGCGACGAGGAUGGCAGCGACAACGGAAGCACCAGCAGCAGCCUUACGUCCUCGCCGCCGACAUCACCGAUUUGCGGCGGAGGUGUGGCCGAGGAGGUCGAGGAGGACGAGGAAGAUGAAAACGAGAACACGGGAGGCGACGGCGUGUAUGCGGCGCCUGCGCGAGGGGAGGCAAAGAAGUCAGGCGCCGAUGUGGAGCGCAGCCCGGUACGUGUGCGCGGAUCCACGACGGCGACCGAGCCUAUCAUCUCCGCCUCCAGCGGGUACGUGGCUCCGCUCGCGAGCAACAGCGUGGUUGCACCUCGGCGCAUGACGACCGCCGGGAGCCAAUCCUCGGUCCCUCUGUCGAAGACGAGACCCGCAGCCGUGGUGCCCCCACUGCCGCUGACAUCACGUGAUGGCACGUCGUCGUUUCGGCAGGGGCCUUACCGGAAUCAGCGCAGCAGCGGCGACGCUGAUCGACGCACCGCGGAGACUGCAGCGGACGAUGGCCAACGCCCGUGCAAGCGAAGUCUCAGUGACAAGGGUAGCGCCGCGAAUUCCGAGUCGGCGGAAGCCUUGCCGAGUGCAGCAGCAGCAGAAGCAGCAGCCACCACGGUGGCGUCGCGACGGCGGCUGGACUUCUCUACCGCGUUGGCCGCCGUUGCAGAGAAGCGCCGUCGCGACCGGGCUAUCCGCGAGGAAAUCGGCCUCAAGCAUGGGUCGGAUAAAGAGAACAGCAAGCCGUCUGUGCCACAUCGCGUCGUUGUUCGCUCCUGCGCGGUGGGAAGCAUCACGACGGCGCGCAAGGCAGUGCUAGUGGAGCGUGACGGCGCCAACACUGGAGCGCAGCGAGGCGAGGAUGAUGAGGCGGAGCCGCGGCUGUUCCCACGCAACGUUCUGACGCCUGGCGAGUGACGACGGAAGCUCUUGUGGCGUGCACGUGCGUAACCGCGUUCGCAUUCCGCUCUCUCUUCAGGUGUGCUACGUUCGUUGCCCGCCAUCCCCGCGCCAUGCCCCUCAUCUUUCCCAACCCCCUCCCCGCCCCGCCCACUACGGCGUCACCAUGCUUGCCAUCCUGCAUCCUUCUUAUUCGUCGGUACAUUUGUAUAUAUGCGUACAUGUGCGUGCGUCUGUGUCGGUGUGCGCGCUUGUCUCACGUCCCCCCUCUUUCUCUGCGCGCGCUGUUUCGUUGGCCAUCCUCCAUCAUACCCCCUCUCCCUCCCUCACCGCCACAGCUUACCAAGCGUUUCCGUACUAGACCCCCCUCCUCGCCCCUCUCUUGUUUCUGUAAUGUUAGACGCCAAACUGUUCGCUUUUCUAUCCCAUUUUUGUGUGUGUAGCCGAGUCUCACGGCAGGUGCGCGCGUGCAUGCGCGCAGGAUUGGUUCGCUUGUUCGUUGGUAGAUGGGGAUGUGCACGUAUCAUGUCGACUCUCGGCUCUCUAUGUGUUUCUCCGGCUGCCGCCUUCUCUCACCCCCCUCUCUGCUGUCGCGUGCGGCUGUGCGUGAUGUGGCCGACCACGUGCACUUAGAUGUACGUGAGCGAGAACCGCUUCAUGGAAAGCCAUACCGUGCAACGAGAGAGAGGGGCAGUGCGCGCGUGUGUGCGUGUGGAAGCUCUGUAGCAAGAACCACACACACCAGACACGUGCCCAGUAGAUAGAGGCGACGGAGGAGGUGCAGGCACAGGCACACACGUACAGACACAGACACAGACACACACACACACACACACCGUCACCGUCACUAUCACCACCACCAACACCACUCCGCAUGCACACGUUCCACACGUUUUUAUCUCUUCCGCAGUUUGCGGACGCCGCACCCCCAAGCCCCCACCCCAUUUUGUAUGAUUUUCCUCGUCGUCCAACCCCAAAGCUGGGCCGAUGAAGGAGACGAAGGCAGGGGAAGAGCCAGCAACACGUAACGGCACACACACACACACACGCACACAACCACGCUUACCAGUACAACGGGUUGUGACCGGAGCCACACGCAAAUGGGUGGAAUGCGUUUUCUGCGCGCACCACGCAUGCACCGUCCCACCCCCUUCCCCAGCCAGCACACGUUCGUGCAGAGGAGUGGGCGGAGGGGGGAGGGGGCAUAUGCGUCGUGUUGCGCGUGACGUGCGUUCUUUCCUUCUUCGCAGGUGCGGUGGCAGUGUGUUCGAGAGGUACACGGGCGGACGGGUGUAGGACGUCUGUUCUUCAACACCCAGCAGCGUCAUGGCCGACUCCGCUGAGCGCGUAUGCUGCAGUGAGCUGUCAUGUGUGCUGUGUGUGUGUGUGUGUGCCGAUGCAAGAAGUCCGCGCACCUUCCCUCUUAUUACGCCCUUCCUGUCUCUCUGUCUCGCCCAUCUCUGUCACUCGUGCUGUGCACGCCAUCGUAUCGCCGCCUUGAUGCACACCGUCUCUCUUUCGAACACACACACGCGCACACAUGCAUGCACGCACGUCGUCGAACUCAAG